GCCCUCAUAGCUCAAUUGGUAGAGCAUUCGCCUUGAUAGCGAAAGGCCCCCAGUUCAAGCCUGGGUGGAGGCA
rnacentral:tRNA from 1 species